rnacentral:rRNA from 1 species
UACGGAGGAUCCAAGAGUUAUCCGGAAUCAUUGGGUUUAAAGGGUCCGUAGGCGGGCUUGUAAGUCAGUGGUGAAAGCCCAUCGCUCAACGGUGGAACGGCCAUUGAUACUGCAGGACUUGAAUUAUUGGGAAGUAACUAGAAUAUGUAGUGUAGCGGUGAAAUGCUUAGAGAUUACAUGGAAUACCAAUUGCGAAGGCAGGUUACUACUAAUGGAUUGACGCUGAUGGACGAAAGCGUGGGUAGCGAACAGG